CAGCGCCACAAGUGGCAAUCGUCUUUAUUUGGCCUAAAGCGUCCGUAGCUGGUUAAGUAAAUCUCUUGUGAAAUUGUAUCGCUUAACGAAACAACGUGCAGGAGAGACUGCUUGACUAGGGACCGGGAGGAGUCAGAGGUAUGCUGAGGGGAGCGGUAAAAUGCUAUAAUCCUCGGUAGACCACCUGUGGCGAAGGCGUCUGACUAGAACGGGUCCGACAGUGAGGGACGAAAGCCAGGGGAGCAAACCGGAUUAGAUACCCGAGUAGUCC
rnacentral:rRNA from 1 species